rnacentral:rRNA from 1 species
AUUGAACGCUGGCGGCAGGCCUAACACAUGCAAGUCGAACGGUAACAGGAAGCAGCUUGCUGCUUUGCUGACGAGUGGCGGGCGGGUGAGUAAUGUCUGGGAAACUGCCUGAUGGAGGGGGAUAACUACUGGAAACGGUAGCUAAUACCGCAUAACGUCGCAAGACCAAAGUGGGGGACCUUCGGGCCUCUUGCCAUCGGAUGUGCCCAGAUGGGAUUAGCUAGUAGGUGGGGUAACGGCUCACCUAGGCGACGAUCCCUAGCUGGUCUGAGAGGAUGACCAGCCACACUGGAACUGAGACACGGUCCAGACUCCUACGGGAGGCAGCAGUGGGGAAUAUUGCACAAUGGGCGCAAGCCUGAUGCAGCCAUGCCGCGUGUAUGAAGAAGGCCUUCGGGUUGUAAAGUACUUUCAGCGGGGAGGAAGGGAUCAUACUUAAUACGUGUGGUGAUUGACGUUACUCGCAGAAGAAGCACCGGCUAACUCCGUGCCAGCAGCCGCGGUAAUACGGAGGGUGCAAGCGUUAAUCGGAAUUACUGGGCGUAAAGCGCACGCAGGCGGUUUGUUAAGUCAGAUGUGAAAUCCCCGGGCUCAACCUGGGAACUGCAUCUGAUACUGGCAAGCUUGAGUCUCGUAGAGGGGGGUAGAAUUCCAGGUGUAGCGGUGAAAUGCGUAGAGAUCUGGAGGAAUACCGGUGGCGAAGGCGGCCCCCUGGACAAAGACUGACGCUCAGGUGCGAAAGCGUGGGGAGCAAACAGG